UAAUACAUGCAAGUAGAACGNCUGAAGGAGGAGCUUGCUCUUCUGGAAGAGUUGCGAACGGGUGAGUAACGCGUAGGUAACCUGCCUCUUAGCGGGGGAUAACUAUUGGAAACGAUAGCUAAUACCGCAUAAAAGUCGACAUUGCAUGAUGUUGACUUGAAAGGUGCAAAUGCAUCACUAAGAGAUGGACCUGCGUUGUAUUAGCUAGUUGGUGAGGUAACGGCUCACCAAGGCGACGAUACAUAGCCGACCUGAGAGGGUGAUCGGCCACACUGGGACUGAGACACGGCCCAGACUCCUACGGGAGGCAGCAGUAGGGAAUCUUCGGCAAUGGGGGCAACCCUGACCGAGCAACGCCGCGUGAGUGAAGAAGGUUUUCGGAUCGUAAAGCUCUGUUGUAAGAGAAGAACGAGUGUGAGAGUGGAAAGUUCACGCUGUGACGGUAUCUUACCAGAAAGGGACGGCUAACUACGUGCCAGCAGCCGCGGUAAUACGUAGGUCCCGAGCGUUAUCCGGAUUUAUUGGGCGUAAAGCGAGCGCAGGCGGUUAGAUAAGUCUGAAGUUAAAGGCUGUGGC
rnacentral:rRNA from 1 species